rnacentral:rRNA from 1 species
GCGGCUCGAGGAUCCGUUCCCGUUCAACGCCGGCCCGAAGACCGGCGCGCUCGUCGAGGCGCGAGUCGGAAAAGGCCGAUGGGUGUACAUCGGCCUCGGGUUGUGGCGCGAGCUGCCGGCCGGCGUGGACGGCGCCUAUCGGCUCCUCCUACGGGAGGCAGCAGUGGGGAAUUUUGGACAAUGGGCGAAAGCCUGAUCCAGCCAUUCCGCGUGAGUGAAGAAGGCCUUCGGGUUGUAAAGCUCUUUCGCAAGGGAAGAAACGAUGCAGUCGAAUAAACUGUGUUAAUGACGGUACCUUGAUAAGAAGCACCGGCUAACUACGUGCCAGCAGCCGCGGUAAUACGUAGGGUGCGAGCGUUAAUCGGAAUUACUGGGCGUAAAGCGUGCGCAGGCGGUUUUGUAAGUCAGAUGUGAAAUCCCCGAGCUCAACUUGGGAACUGCGUUUGAAACUACAAGACUAGAAUAUGUCAGAGGGGGGUAGAAUUCCACGUGUAGCAGUGAAAUGCGUAGAGAUGUGGAGGAAUACCAAUGGCGAAGGCAGCCCCCUGGGAUAAUAUUGACGCUCAUGCACGAAAGCGUGGGGAGCAAACAGGAUUAGAUACCCUGGUAGUCCACGCCCUAAACGAUGUCUACUAGUUGUUGGUGGAGUAAAAUCCAUGAGUAACGCAGCUAACGCGUGAAGUAGACCGCCUGGGGAGUACGGUCGCAAGAUUAAAACUCAAAUGAAUUGACGGGGGCCCGCACAAGCGGUGGAUUAUGUGGAUUAAUUCGAUGCAACGCGAAAAACCUUACCUGGCCUUGACAUGUACCGAAUUUGGGAGAGAUUCCUUAGUGCUCGAAAGAGAACGGUAACACAGGUGCUGCAUGGCUGUCGUCAGCUCGUGUCGUGAGAUGUUGGGUUAAGUCCCGCAACGAGCGCAACCCUUGCCAUUAAUUGCCAUCAUUUAGUUGGGCACUUUAAUGGGACUGCCGGUGACAAACCGGAGGAAGGUGGGGAUGACGUCAAGUCCUCAUGGCCCUUAUGGCCAGGGCUUCACACGUAAUACAAUGGUCGGUACAGAGGGUUGCCAACCCGCGAGGGGGAGCCAAUCCCAGAAAGCCGAUCGUAGUCCGGAUUGUAGUCUGCAACUCGACUACAUGAAGUCGGAAUCGCUAGUAAUCGCGGAUCAGCAUGUCGCGGUGAAUACGUUCCCGGGCCUUGUACACACCGCCCGUCACACCAUGGGAGUGGGUUUUACCAGAAGUAGGUAGUCUAACCGUAAGGAGGACGCUUACCACGGUAGUAUUCAUGACUGGGGUGAAGUCGUAACAAGGUAGCCGUAUCGGAAGGUGCGGCUG